CAGGCGGCCUUGAGAGUUGGUUUGGGAGUGGCUCCCUGAGUGCUAUGGCUGUGGUCAGCUCUAAGGACCUGUUGGCAGACUGAGAUUUCAGGGCCUGACAACCCUAUAGACUAGGAUAGCUAAGACCUCCCUCUACCCCCACCC
rnacentral:miRNA from 1 species